rnacentral:rRNA from 1 species
AUUGAACGCUGGCGGCAGGCCUAACACAUGCAAGUCGAGCGGAUGAAGGGAGCUUGCUCCUGGAUUCAGCGGCGGACGGGUGAGUAAUGCCUAGGAAUCUGCCUGGUAGUGGGGGAUAACGUCCGGAAACGGGCGCUAAUACCGCAUACGUCCUGAGGGAGAAAGUGGGGGAUCUUCGGACCUCACGCUAUCAGAUGAGCCUAGGUCGGAUUAGCUAGUUGGUGGGGUAAAGGCCUACCAAGGCGACGAUCCGUAACUGGUCUGAGAGGAUGAUCAGUCACACUGGAACUGAGAAACGGUCCAGACUCCUACGGGAGGCAGCAGUGGGGAAUAUUGGACAAUGGGCGAAAGCCUGAUCCAGCCAUGCCGGGUGUGUGAAGAAGGUCUUCGGAUUGUAAAGCACUUUAAGUUGGGAGGAAGGGCAGUAAGUUAAUACCUUGCUGUUUUGACGGUACCAACAGAAUAAGCACCGGCUAACUUCGUGC